rnacentral:tRNA from 1 species
CAAGAUUUAAACAAAUACUAUUAUUUAUAAAAGACCUUGAAAGCCUUCAGUUUAAUUAACUUAAAAUCUU